GGAACUGGUAGACGCGUUGGAUUCAAAAUCCAAUUCCUCACGGAGUGCCGGUUCGAUUCCGG
rnacentral:tRNA from 14 species